UAUUUUAUGAAAGACAAAAUACGGGAGUUCAAAGUUUCACUCUGGCAACCAUCAUACAUUAUGCUUUUUACCUUAUUUAGAAGUCAUUUUAUACAGAGCUUUCAGAAACACAUUUAUUGUGUAGUUAUACCAUUUCUUCCCCAAAUUCCAACAACAAGAACAUAAUACAAGUUUAUUUUAAAAAUAAACCUCAGAAUCAGAAUUAAAUUGGUAAAUGAAGUCAUCUAUCGAAAAGUGUUAAAUCUAGUUGGAGUAUAUUUCUUUGCCUCAAACCAAAGAAUUAAAGUAGAAGCAUACUGUUGCUGAUAUUUUUAAAAACUAUGUCCAGAUACAAGUUAGUCUGGAAGUUCUUGGAAAGUUAAUGAGCAAGCAAUUUGGUUUUCUCCACUAUUUCAUCAUCAAAGAACUGCAACAAACGUUGGAGAAACGCUAUUAGUGAAAUUCUGGACAACAGAAAGUGUAAAACCAGAUUGUUAGGAGACAACAAAAGUUAGAAAAUUCAUAAACAUACAUUUAUUCAAGAAAUACAAUUACCAGAGUCCUUGAUAUUUCAGUGAUCAUUCCACAUUAUAAAAUAUUCACAACAUGUAUUCUUUUUAAGUCUACACCAAGUCAUGCUGACAUUCUUUUCAGAUAAGCCACAGCCAUUAAAUGCUAUAAUAUCCAUGUAAAUUGUAAACAAAGUACUUGAGCCAAACUACUUAAGUAUUAAGUACUGAGCAAAACAACUAAACAAUUUAGUAGAGGAAGACAAUGAUUUUUUAAAAACACAUCUGAUUACCAAAUCCCAAAGAACUAGGCCAUUAUAAUCUAGUAUACUAAUGGAUAAAGUGGCCCUAUGAAGACAGUACAUAAUUAUCAAUGACAGCAUUUCUCAUCUGCAGUUUUUAAAUAGGCUUUCUCAAUUAAUAAAUUUAUUUUUGUUAAAUUUUAAAGGCCAAGGGGGCAGAAAAGAUGACAGACAUUAAACUACUGGCCAAUUAAAGAAAAAAAGAUAAACUAUAAUUACUU
rnacentral:lncRNA from 1 species